rnacentral:rRNA from 1 species
UUCAGAGGUCCCGAGCGUUGUUCGGAUUUACUGGGCGUAAAGGGAGACGUAGGCGGUUCGGUAUGGUCGAAUGUGAAAGCCCAACAACUCAACUGUGGAAAUGCAUUCGAAACUGCCGGGCUAGUAGUACUGGAGAGGAGAGCGGAAUUCUUGGUGUAGCGGUGAAAUGCGUAGAUAUCAAGAGGAACACCGGUGGCGAAGGCGACUCUCUGGUCUGUAACUGACGCUGAGGCUCGAAAGCGUGGGGAGCAAACAGGAUUAGAUACCCCGGUAGU